AUACUUCUACAGCACAUAGACUAAAACUGGGAUGAUACAGAGAAGAUGCACAUGGCCCCUGUGCAGGGAAGACAUGCAAAUUCAUGGGGUGUUCUAUGUUAAA